ensembl:lncRNA
CUCAGAGUUUGGAUCAUCAGAUUACUACAAGCCCAGUCAGGAAGAAAAGUACAACACUGAAGUUAUACAGGCAUGUGAAGUGGUGAAAAAGAGUACUUACACCAGGGCAUUGGAGGGUAGCUUUUCAAAGUGGUAUCUUUCAACUUCGAAGAUAUCUGCUAGAAAAGGAAAGUGAUGAUGUCCACAGACAACACCAGCAGUGACCUAUGGGGAUGAAAAGGCAACAGAAAGAAAUUGCUGGAAAGAAUCAGUCCUGAACAGAGAAAAGUAUCCAAAAGGACAUUCUUCUGCUUCAAGGUGACAAGUCAUCUAAUGACCUCCUUUAGAAAGAAAGUCCUCCAGGGGUUGGCCACACCAAUCUAACUUUGAUAUUUAGAGCCCUGCCUCAGAAAGAUUUUGUUUCUCUGUUGGCUGUAAAGAGAGCUCAGCAAGAAUAGAAAAUCAAGAAAAAAACUGUCCUCUACAACUACUUCAUCUGGGCUGAAGGCUAAAAAAGUGCCUGCUGUAUUAUCUUCACCCACAUUUUUGUGGCACACUAAAUUGCUGUUUGUAUCUAUUUUCUGCAUAGAUGGAGAACAGAUGAUUGUAGCUGAAAAUAAGAAAGCUGUGAGACCUGUAAAACAGGAACUUUGAAAAAUUCCUUCACAGAAACAGUUUUGCAGACUGUCAUUCUCAAUCAUCAGAAUUGUUUCCUUACUGAACACAAAGCAGAGUUCAAAAUCCUUCUAAUUUAGUGUGCUCAACCUGACCAGAAGAUUUUUCAAGAAGCAAGCAUAUCAGAAAAUGCUAUUGAGAUCCUAUCAUAAAUAUUAUUGUUUAUUUUUUUUUUAAUUGAAAAAACAGUUAUAUAUUAUGGUCUCAUUUCUUACUAAAAUAUCUUAAUAUGUUUCCUCUGAAAAAUAUCAACAAGAAGUCCUGUUCAGGUAUUUGUAUACAAGUCAAGAGACAUUUUUGCCCUUUUGAAUGUCUUAAAUAAAAAUGUCUUUCUUUUCAAUUUCAUUUUUUUUUUCCUCCCAUGGAAGGUUUCCCAGGUCUUUAAUAAGGAACUAAAUGCUAUAGUAUAUAUUUGAUUUAGAAAUUCCAUAGCUAUAUUUACUUGGAUUUUCAGAUUGAUGUGGCUCAUGCUGUAAUUUCUAUUACAUUUACUAAGUCUACUGUCCAUAAUGAUAUGCUGUGUUUUCUCCUCAUAGAGUAUAACACGUGUCAAGAGUUUACCUCUAUCACUUGUGACUCACUGAAAGAAUCAGCUCUGGUAAUGGCACAAUCUGAAGAGCGGGGGAUUAUGGUGUAUAGGAUGGUUUUCCAAGCUGAGGAAACUCCAGUGGAGUUAGAGUGGCUGAUGAUGCAUGGGCAAGGCCAGCAACAACUUCACACCAACAAAAGGUGCUAGGAAGUAUGAGUGAUUAGAUUAUGGUAUGACAGCUUGUGCAGGAGUGUGUAGAGAGCUGCUUGUCACAGCAUCACUUCCAAUGGAGGUUGUAACCUGUUCACAACACAUAUCAGCUAACAGAAAAUUCUAACCUUUCCAGGCUUUUUUCUAACAUAUAAAUAAGUUUUAAGUCUUGGAUUGGCCAUAAAACAUUAAAAUAAUGGGUUGAUCAAUAUUCAUUCAACUUAGUCAUACAUACACACUGAUAUUAUCCUACAUGCUGAUUGAAAAGAAAAAAUAUUAAUGCUUACAAUGUUAUUGUUAUUUAUUUCAUACCCAGAAAUUGAAGCAUUACCCAGAACACAAUGAUUUUAAUUGAACCGUUUGCAAAUGUCACCAUUACUAAGGACAUGUCAUGAGAUAAAGGUGAAUUCAUGACAAAUGAGAAGAUAUAAAGAUGUUUAAUUUCCUGUUAAGCUGCACUAAAAAUUCCAUAUAAGUCCCUUCUGAUCACUCACCACUUUUGUCUGAACUUACAGCAUUGUUCAUUUAAAAAUCAUUCAAAAAUGUAAUUGUUCCUUUCACCUCUUCUUGUCCAUUUCCUUCUGUUUCUCAUACUGAUUUUCACGUUGUUAUAAAAAGACAGAUACCAAUCUUUUAAAGAAAGAUCUUGACAUGGCAAGUCAAAGGUGUUCAAAAAUGAAGCACAUUUAUCUGAUGUAGUGAUGCUAAUUUAUGCUAGUUUUAUUGCAGAGAGUGGGAAAAGACAGAUUUCUAUUUCAUCUGAACUUAAAAAACUGGCACGUGACUUCAAGCAUUGUCCUCAGAAUAAGGGCUAGACUUAAACUCUAGGCAGCGCUCACUUAAUAGAUGAUAACAAUGUAAUUUUCUAUGUACUGUAACACUAUAAAGGUCAGUCUGCUCU